rnacentral:rRNA from 1 species
CCCUUAGAUGUUCUGGGCUGCACGCGCGCUACACUGACGCACGCAACAGGUGCCUGCUCCGAGAGGACUGGGUAAUCAUUUGAGUGUGCGUCGUGAUGGGGAUAGAAUAUUGUAAUUAUUACUCUUCAACGAGGAAUUCCUAGUAAGCACCAGUCAGCAGCUUGCGCUGAUUACGUCCCUGCCCUUUGUACACACCGCCCGUCGCUCCUACCGAUGGGUGAUCCGGUGAAUGAUUCGGACUUCAGCGGCUCCCCUGGGGUGCGCCGGAGAAAGUUUUGUGAACCUUAUCACUUGGAGGAAGGAGAAGUCGUAACA